UUACUUUUUUCAAUUUACAUACAUAUGUACAUACCUAUACCUACUUACCUACACUACCCGAAAUUCAAUUUCCAGCAUUCGUUUGUUUUGUAAUUCUAGGUAUAUGUGUAACGAUAAAAACAAAGAAUGAAUAAAGUUACUAUUUUCGCUGUCGGCGUAUUGGUUGCCUACAUUGCAGGAACUAUACCAGUUGGAGUCGAUGGUAAAUGUACCGUUGAUGCUCAAAUCUUCACCAGUAAGAAUCGAUGCCUAGCUAAGUGUAAACCUGGUUGUGAAUUGGAGGACUGUGGCGGAUUCGGAAUUUGCGUAGCCGGAGGAGGAAUUACAAAGAAUUCACGAAGAAUUACUCAUUACGCGUGUAGUUGCAACCACGUUCUUGAUAAUAAAUGUAGAAUUUUUAUAGCAGUUGGCCAUUUUUUUGAGAUUUGCAAGUCUAGCUUACUUAGGUGCCUAUUUUUGGGUGAAUUCUUAUUUUGAAAUUUUUUCUUUUGAAAUUUUUUCUUUUGAAAUAAUUGACAAAACAUCGACACUGAAACUAGGGAAAUAUUGUGGAUCGCAGUGGUGCCAAUUUUUUUUGGAAAUUAUUGCAAAUUUGAAACUAUCGAGGAAAAUAGCCCUAAAUUUAAGCUUAUCAAAUUCAUUCAGUUUGAUAUAAUUGACAAUAAUGACCAAGAAAUUGACACCACUGCGUUCCAAAAUAUUUUCCAGUUGCGGAAAUGAUAUUUUUUCGAUAUUUUGACAUUGGUAAGUACCUAAUUAAAGCGAAAUAUUUGAGGUGAAAAAAUGUUCAAAACAAGUAUUGCACUAAUUAGGUAAUGAAAAUCCUUAAGAAGGGUGCAAAAUACAAUCAAAUUCCAAGGAGCCUGUUAGAUACAAAUGUGAAAAAAGUCAUCCAUUCAACUCUGAUGCAGUUGAAUUCUAAGCAAGCUCCUAUACCUACCGGCUACCUUACUUAUAUCCAUAAUCGUUUGGCAAUAUAGGUAUUGAUCAACAUAGGAAUAAUAAAUAUUAAAUUUCAACGGUCAUAAUACGUAAAUUUUGAAAUUUUUUGCGUGGUAGGUAGGUACCUAUUUUAUUAUUACCUAUUACACAGUCAGUUAUUUAUGUUUUUCUUCUUGUUUCAAUAAAAAUUUAUAUCAAAGUUUGUGUAUAAAUUGUGACCGAACUAACAUUUUGAGAUAGAAUACUUAUUCUUCUAUCACGGUUUUUUGUGUAGAAUUACCUAGAUAAAAAGUGAACACGAUAAAAUGAAUAAAUUUCCAAUUUUCGUGAUCGGUUUAUUGAUUGUCUACGUCGCGUUAGUUCCAGAAAUCGAAUCCGGAGGCGCUUGCCCUGUUAGCAAACAAACAUUCAACGACGAAAAGUCUUGCACGAGAACAUGUAGUAGUGAAUGUAAAUCAAAAAAAAACUGCGGCGGAUUUGUAAAGUGUGUGGCAAAAGUAGGCAAGGUUAAAGCUUUGUUUUCUUGUGUUUGUGGGGCGACUAAUGAUUGAUUAAUAGGUAAGGCUAGGUAAUAGGUAUAUGUGUACGAAAUCAAAUUUCAAGUAGGUAUUUUAAUUAGUAGAUCUAGGUUUUUUGUUCUAUUAUUAUCGCAAUAAAUUUAUUCUUAACUCAA